CUCUCUUCCUCUUCACACAGCCUCCAUCACUCCCUCUCACACACACCGGCCUCCAUCACUCUCUCUCAUUCUCUCAGCAAUGGUGUUCAGUGUAUAUUAGUACGAAGUCGAAGAGAGAAGAAGAAGAAGAGAGAGAGAGUGUGGUGGUGAUGGGUCAAGACAUAGACGAUUUGCCAAAAAAUGCGGCCAACUUCACAGCUUUGACGCUGCUUUGGUUUUUGGACAGAGCUGCUUUGGUACACCCCAACAAAACUUCGCUCCUCCAUGGAUCUCUACGCUACACGUGGCGUGACACUUACAACCGUUGCCGUCGAUUGGCCUCUUCUCUCUCCAAACACUCCAUCGGCCUCAGUUCCACGCUUGACUUAAGCAAGUAUGGAUGAUAAGAGAGAGUUUGAGACACAAGCAGUAUGGCAAGCGUUGGAGAUUUGUUGCCCAUCCAAAGAGAUUCACUAUGGUUGUGGAAAAGAAGAUAAUGCGCUAAAGAAAAUUAACCAGGCAUGAUCUUGGUCGAGAGAAAUUUGUAUUUGAAGUUUGGGAUUGGAAAAACAAGUAUGGGUGCCUGGCGACACAAGGACAUUGAGUCCUCUGCUCUACUAGUUGUGGAUAAAGCAUACCAUUCUUAAUUAGUGCUUCACAAUGGAUGAGAAAAGCUCAAGAGCUGUGACAGAGGCUUUUGUUAGACUUCACGAGAAAAAGCUUAUUUAUAAGCUAUGAAGCACGGGUGCGUUUCAGGACUCGAGUGCGGGUGCGGGA